ACGCUCGACACCUACAGGAGGCAGCAGUGGGGGAUAUUGCACAAUGGAGGAAACUCUGAUGCAGCGACGCCGCGUGAGGGAAGACGGUUUUCGGAUUGUAAACCUCUGUCUUCAGGGACGAAAUGAAUGACGGUACCUGAGGAGGAAGCUCCGGCUAACUACGCGCCAGCAGCCGCGGUAAUCUGAGCGGGCUGGCAAGGC
rnacentral:rRNA from 1 species